AUUUAGCUGACGAGUCCCAAAUAGGACGAAACGCGCGUCCUGAAU
rnacentral:hammerhead_ribozyme from 1 species